UGGGAAGAAGCUUAACUUGAGGGAAACUGCCGCGAGGUUAUAACUUUAACAAAGAAAUAUCCAUCUUAAUAAUAUCAGCUGUAAAAUAUUAUUAUAAAUAUUAAAUUAAAUAUAUAAUAAUGUUUUAAUUUAAGGGUAGUUUGUAUGACUGUAUUAUAAUAUUUUAAAUAAUAUCUUUAUUGUAGUAAUAUCCUAUUUUAAUCGCAAGGUUAAAAAAAGUUAGAAUAUGAUAAUAUUUUAUUUUUUGUUGUAAGAAAUCUUUUAUUUAAAAACAAAAACAUCUUUGUUAAGCUAAUUAGUAUCAGUUAACUCAUUUAAGUAACAUCU
rnacentral:rRNA from 1 species